AUUGAACGCUGGCGGCAUGCUUUACACAUGCAAGUCGAACGGUAACAGGUUAAGCUGACGAGUGGCGAACGGGUGAGUAAUGCAUCGGAACGUGCCCGAUCGUGGGGGAUAACGCAGCGAAAGCUGCGCUAAUACCGCAUACGAUCUAAGGAUGAAAGCGGGGGACCGUAAGGCCCCGCGCGAUCGGAGCGGCCGAUGUCAGAUUAGGUAGUUGGUGGGGUAAAGGCCCACCAAGCCGACGAUCUGUAGCUGGUCUGAGAGGACGACCAGCCACACUGGGACUGAGACACGGCCCAGACUCCUACGGGAGGCAGCAGUGGGGAAUUUUGGACAAUGGGCGAAAGCCUGAUCCAGCAAUGCCGCGUGCAGGAAGAAGGCCUUCGGGUUGUAAACUGCUUUUGUACGGAGCGAAAAGGUCCUUUCUAAUACAAGGGGCUCAUGACGGUACCGUAAGAAUAAGCACCGGCUAACUACGUGCCAGCCGCCGCCGUAA
rnacentral:rRNA from 1 species